AGCCCUGAGGUGUAUUACAUAUCAGAUUGCAAAUCUGAAGAAGCAGAAUAACGGCCUGCCAGGGCUU
rnacentral:tRNA from 1 species